rnacentral:tRNA from 1 species
GCGGACGUGGCGGAAUUGGUAGACGCAAGGGACUUAAAAUCCCUCGGGCCUUGCCCGUGCGGGUUCGAUCCCCGCCGUCCGCACCA